rnacentral:rRNA from 1 species
UACGGAGGAGGCAAGCGUUAUCCGGAAUUACUGGGCGUAAAGCGCACGUAGGCGGAUUGUUAAGUGAGGGGUGAAAUCCCAGGGCUCAACCCUGGAACUGCCUUUCAUACUGGCAAUCUAGAGUUCGAGAGAGGUGAGUGGAAUUCCGAGUGUAGAGGUGAAAUUCGUAGAUAUUCGGAGGAACACCAGUGGCGAAGGCGGCUCACUGGCUCGAUACUGACGCUGAGGUGCGAAAGCGUGGGGAGCAAACAGG